CGGCAGUGGCGGACGGGUGAGGAGCGCGUAAGGACCUGCCCCUGGGAGGGGGAUAACAGCUGGAAACGGCUGCUAAUACCCCAUAGCCUGAGGAGGGAAAGGAGAGAUCCGCCCAGGGAGGGGCUUGCGUCUGAUUAGCUAGUUGGGGGGGGUAAUGGCCUCCCAAGGCGAUGAUCGGUAGCUGGUCUGAGAGGACAAUCAGCCACACUGGGACUGAGACACGGCCCAG
rnacentral:rRNA from 1 species